rnacentral:rRNA from 1 species
AUGCCCCACCUUCUUCCCUGGCUCCGGCCGCCGCCCCGUGCCCCACCUUCUCCCAUGGAAGCAGUCGCCACCCCUCCCCCACUAUCUCAUGCGCCCUGGGCCGCUCACCAUCCCCCAUCCUCAGCGCGCCGGCCGCCACCAUCCCCAGCGUGCCAACCUCCAGUUCUUCACCUGCCCCAUCGUGACGCCGCCCAAUCUUCUUCCUCCUGGAUUCUCCUAGCCAUGGCGAGCGCCACCUCCCUACACCAAGCUCGCUCUAGACUACGCAGAGCCGCCAACCCCCACCACCUCUCGUGCAGUACAACCCCGCCCAUGUACGAGGUUCAAAGACCUUGCAGAGAGAAGGAAAGGAGAUGUUAA